GUCGUAGGGAUGCGGCACUAGCGAUGCAGUGAAAGAGAAAAGUGAGACUUGUCUCUGGUUAUAAUGCAUCGUGCAGUUUGGCCAGACUGACAGUCAAGAUUUAUUGAUGGAGCCGUGUAUCGCACAUCAGUUCUGUUCCGCUUUCUUUUUCAUUCCCACUCCCUCAUCUCUUCCCCUACCUUUCCCCCACCACCUCUCUCUCUCUCUCUCCUCUCCUCUCCCUCACUCUCCCCUUCCCUUCUUCCGUGCUUCAGGUCCCUUGCCGGUCCCUCUCUUCCGUAUUAAUUUGCAAAAGGCAUCUUUGACGCUGGCAGAGAGCACUCUGUGAGGCAGCGAGGAGCAGAUUGCUAUCAUUGUGACAGCUUUCACGCUUGGCGAGCGGCGUGCCAUCCAGGGAGCUGGACUGGAUUGUGGUGUUCCACAGAGGAGGUUGAGGAGCAGGGGGGAGGACGGGGGAGCCAGCUGGACAGAUGGAGGACAGCGCUCAGCACCUGGGAUACUGCAUGGUUGACAUGAAGCCGCGGAGCAACCACCCUGAAGGGCUGACUGCUACCAGUGUUUAUCCGGCACUCGAGGUUCCUCCAGUGGAGUUCAUCCUUGCGUGCAAAGACCUGGUGACUUUAGAGGAUGAGCGAAGCCCUGACGCUUUCGUCCAGGUGUCUGUCAUCGACCCGCGCUCGCAGCAACUCCUCUCUCACGUCUGCACCGAGACAGUGAAGACAAACAAGGACCCGGUGUUUCUGACGGGGGUGACCUUCCCAUCAGACCGUCGCCCCGCCCUCGAGGCUCUAGUCAAGCUAACUGUGUACGAUGCGAAGGACAAGAGUCAGGAGUCUGGCACGAUCCUGGGUUCUGCUACCUUUUCUGUUGGCGAGCUGCUCAAGGCUAAGGAUGAGAAAUUGACAUUGAGUUUAAGGUCACCCAAUGGUGUGUGCACUUCAGCUACAGUUGUGGUGAAUCGGCUGACCAUGGGGGAGAUGGAGGAGUUUGAUCAUAUCUCCGCUGAAGUUCCCUCACAGAAGUGCCCCUUGGUCUGCGAUCCUGUGUCCAGCCCCUGCAUUAACAGAGACAUUAACCUUCUGACUGGGCCCGUCUUCAAAAACCCAGUAUGCAAGGUGUACCGAUUCCAAACUGUGGACAGCAAGUGGAUGCUCGUGAGAGAACAAAUGGAUGAGUGCACUCUCUCCUUCAACGUCCCCAAACAGCUGCUGUCACUCUACAUUCAGGAGGACAUGAGCAGAGUGCAGGACCUGAAGGAGCUAGGAGAACUUUCCCCGCACUGGGAGAACUUGCGUACAGAGGUGAUGACAAGAUACGCCGGAAUCAUCAGCUCCUACCAAGAGACUCUGUCGGAGCUGGACAAGAUCACUGGGAAUUGUUUCAAGCCGAGUUGCUGCAAAGCCCAGAAGUCUCUGGAGUUCGUCCCCAUAAACCUGCACACCCAGCGGAUGAGGGUGACCUGCCCCAGGAAAGCAGAUGCGAUCUAUGACAUCGUGACAGUCGGUGCUCCUGCAGCCCACUUCCAGGGCUUCAAGGGAGGAGGCCUGCAGCGGCUGCUGGGGAGAUAUGAAAGCGAGAAACGAAGCUUCAGCACAGCCUACCAGUGUAUCUACUAUUCUCCGGAGCACACUGCCAAAGCUCAAGAGGUCCUCAGCAGCAUGAGCUACCUCCUGCCCAUUAUCACGGUGUCAGCGGAGCAGCUCCUCCAGGCGGCCCAGGAGCACUCCUCCUCUGGCCUGAAGGACGCUCUCAAGAACCUCUCUGACAACACGGAGCAGUUCGUCCACACCCUCAAAGAUGAACUGGUGAAGAGCGCCCUGCUGGCGCUUCACGCGGCCCGUCCCGGCUACGUUUCAAAGAAGCAGAACCCGGACAAGCAUCAAGAAGGCGAACAGGAAGUGGGCCAGGUCCACAGGCUCCCGGGACACACGGAGAGCCCGGUGUUGUGCAACAACAUUGAGGAGACGCACCACAUCCACGAUGGGUCGACGCCGCUGAAGCAAGGCUCCAUACCACAUCAGAAAGAGUACGACGAGGAGGAAUGGGACAGAGUUUGGGCCAACGUGGCUAAAUGUCUCAACUGCGUCAUUGCCAUGGUGGAUAAACUCAAGGAAGAGGUGGAGACGCAGAAGCCAGAGCUCGGUCCUGGGGAGCAACCAGCCGCCGUCAUCUCCUCACACAACCCAGGCGACUGGCGGGAGCAGCUGUGCCCCCUGGUGACGAGGCUAAAGGAGUGCGUGUGCGAGGUGUCGGAGAGAGCCAAGAAGGCCAUGACCUUUGUGCUCUUGCAGGACGCCGCCUGCAGCAUCCCACAGGGCGUCCUUUUAAAGCAGAGGCGAGACGUGGUCUUCAGCCAGGCGCUGACUGCCUUGGCCUGCGGGUUUGUGAUGAAGCUGUACGCCGGGAUGCAAGACAGCGGCUUCCUUCGGCAGCUCCACUUGGUCGGGGUCGUGGCCCAGUUCGAGAGCCUGCUCAGCACCUACAGUGAGGAGAUCGGCAUGUUGGAGGACAUGGAGGUGGGCAUCUCCGACCUUCAGAGAGUCACGUUUAAAGUCACGGAAGCAAAGACAGAUGACCUCAGUGACCUUGAGCCUGUUAUAUGCGGCAGAAGAGAUCACUUUAUCGUCGAAGUGCCAUUACCCAAAGUGGCGUUCCUGACCCUCCCAGAGGAAAUCAAAGAUGGCCGACCUCUGCGAGUGCUCCCGGUGCUGUUCAACGUGGGCAUCAACGAACAGCAGACCAUCGCAGAGAGGUUCGGAGACAUCUCCCUCCAGGAGAGAAUAAACCAGAAGAACUUUGAGAUGCUAGAACUUUAUUACAAAUCAUUAAGCGAAACGGUGCCGACGGAAUGUCUACCGUGUUUUCAGACUCAGACUGACACGAAGGAGUUACUUGAAUCUCUGGGCCAGAAUGUAGUCGCGAAGAAGAGGAAGAACGUGGAGAUACUGUGGAUCGCUGGAGCGAUCUGCAGGAGGUUGAAUGGCAUCAGAUUCACCAGCUGUAAAAGUGCCAAAGACCGAACGUCCAUGUCUGUCACCCUGGAGCAGUGCUCGCUGCUGCGGGACGAACACCAGCUCAACAAGGAUUUCUACAUCCGAGCUCUGGACUGUAUGAGGAGGUGAGUCCCCCGGCCACAGCAUGGUCCGCCUCACUUCAGAUCCACGCCUCUGCUCCCAGCUUCUCGGGCAUCAGUCCUGGAAUGUUUUCUCACAGUGGCACAGCCUAGACUGCUGGGUUGCUUUGAACUAUACGGUCUUUGGUUCCAGAAAGGGUGAUGGGUUAUCUGCAGACGGAAGCAACUUGCGUGUUUACACCUCACACUCACGGCUGCUUUCACUGACCGCAGUUCAUCACAUGAAGCAUCUGAGCUGAUCUUAUCGCCGUUGCUGGCGGAGUCAGCUGGGUUACAUAAUCCACAGUGAAGAGUCGAUCUCUAGCGCUACUACUAAACAUAUGAAGCAUCUGCCUUUUUAUUCAGUAAAAAUACAUGACAAAUAUUACCCACACUGUGUCAUAAAUUACUUUGUUUUUGCAAUUUAUAUAUAUAUAUAUAUAUAUAUAUAUAUAUAUACACACACAGUGGUACCUCGGUUUUCAAACAUCCUGGAAUUCGAACAAAUCGGAGUUUGAACAAAAAUUUCUAGAUUUUUUUUUGCUUCUGAUUUCGAACGAAAUGCCUCCAAAAAAAGCCAGAAAAAACAUAACGUGCACGGACCGAUCAGCUGACCCACGAGGCGCUUUGUUAUUGUAUAUAACGCAGCCUCUGUAUGCAGACGUGUCCCGUUAGCUCCAUUUACUGGCUGUUUUUUCUUCAUAUUGAGGUGUAAAACCUUUCCUGUCUCCACACUGGACCGUGGUAGAGUGUCACAGGGGAGGUGCUGGAGCGCUCACUCCAGGGUUUGAUGUCCUGUUGUGGGCUGGAGCUGGGACAGGGAUGAGGCGAGUCUGGGACAGAGCGUGACUUGGUUUAUGACUUUGUCACAGCCAAACUGCACAGAAGCGCACAUUCAGAGCUGGACACGCACCGGGCACCUCUUCCCUUCUGGAGAGACGUCACUCACUCGGCAACCCCUCCCACAUGCAGCGGCCACACACAUAGAGGAACAGCGCACCUGCAGCAGACCCUCUACAUUCACUCCUACAAAAGCCGAUUUUAAGGCUUGGAACGCAUUAUUGCUUUUUCCAUUCAUUGUAAUGGGAAAAAUCCAUUCAGAUUUCUAACAAAUCGCUUCUUGAACGGCCGUCUGGAACGGAUUGUGGUUGAGAACCCAGGUACCACUCUCUCUCUCUCUCUCUCUCUCUAUAUAUAUAUAUAUACAUAUAUAUAUACCUUUUUUCUAAUUUGUAUUUUUAAAAGAAAAGCCAUUCCGAUUUACAAACUUUUCACAUAUCGCAUUAGUUUUCGUCGCUGUGUUUUUGUAAACCUCCACGAUUGGUUCUGGUUUGACCCUUGAUCUCACUGGGCUGCUGCUCAGACACAUUGUUUAUCUGACUGUAGCCAGCUGACCCCGUCGAUGAUGAUGUAUUAUCCCUCCCCCACACCCCAAAAAAUAAUUCCGGUAAACAUCCAGCCUCUGAAUGCCGUUAUGAAAACAACCUUGUUGCCACUUGAGUCAACAGUUGAACUGAUGACCUGCUCACAAUUUGUCGCCAGUGAAUGUGCCAGUAUAAACAUAUCAUUCUGCAUUCCUUGAUGCUUCCAUCAGUCAUGCAUGUACAUGUCUGCUUGCCAGUCUGCUGACUAGUUGUGCUGUGUGUGACUUUUGCUCUUCUGUGAAGGGAAUGAAAGAUCAAAGUUAAAGGCUGAGAUCAGUCAGGGUCGUCUGAAGAGUGUCAGCUAUGGAGCAGGCUACUCACUAUCUUACCACCCUGGAGUUUGGGUGGACAAACUGGGGUGUGAUGUGGGCAGAUGAUCGCGAUAAGAUGAGGAGAGGGAGAGGUCGACUUGAUGUGGCAAGCCCAGCAGGAAAUAAAGGAUGCAUUUCCCAGAUGAAGACUGGGUGAGGUUUAUCUGACAGAUAAAUGUUCUUGCCCGGAAAACUCGACCGGCUCUGAGACUCUGGACAGUUUUCAUACGACUCUGGAGAGUGGGAAUAUGACGCGCGGCGUCCUGCUUGCUCACGAUCAUUACUCGAUUCACUACACUCAGUGACAUUUGAAACAAGAAAAGCACUCAGAAAGCGCCGACCUCCACCAAGCAGCUUCAGUCCAACACAGUCUUGCAAUGACACAGUAUCUUUUGAAGGAAAAGGAAUCCUUUAAAAAUCCAGACGGUGAUUCGAACCACUCCCAAAUUUGAAAAAUCAUCAUUUGUUCAUAUCACCUAUUUCCAGAAAAUUGCAUUCAAAUCCGCCUAGAGCUUUUCAAGUUGUUUGAAACACAGUCAAGGCCACGGUGUUGAAAACAAGACUCUCGGCGUUGAUCUGUCUGGAGCACGGAAGGGCUGAGAAGCCGACAGUCAAACUCUGUGUCAUGGAUCUGGGGUGGGGCCCGACACCCUGUCCAAGUCGAGAGUGCGGUCACUCGCUGUCCCUGCCAAUGCGGGGGGCCGGGGUUGGAAAUAACUUUGGAUGGGCCGAUAACAUUUGAGCAACUGUUUUCUUGGCACCCAAGACGAUGUUGCGAUUGUCCCUGAAAAUGUGCCAUCGCCUCCAGAAAGGCACAGCAGCAUGGACACGUCACCGUCCAGUCAUUUCAAACUACUUGGUUAAGAUGAUUGGUAGGUGCCUUUGUCCUUGUACAUUCCACAGGUGACAAGACGUUUCAUUUUUGAGUCGGAACAUUUCAUGAAUUGGUCAAUCCAUGAAGGAAUAUGGUGAGAAAAUGCCCUGCUUUGAACAAUGUUGUGUGUCUUCCGUCCAGUUGGGAGGUUUGGGCUGUCAGAUCUGGCAACCUUGGUGUGAGUGAGGUGAAGAGUUGAGAGAUUUAUCCCUCCUUUAUCACUCCUCCCACCAGCAUAAGCCUCCAUGAAACGCCACACUCCACCCAGGGAGGGCAGGAUCACUCUCCGCGUCUGGCUUCAGCUUCAGCUGGAAUGAUUGUCUGGCUGCCAACGCUCAGCGUCGCAAUCGAGCAGAGAGGGCUGUCGGUUUGUGGGGUCAAAAAAGUUCACCCCAACUUUAUAAGAAGGAGUUUCCUGUGAAAAAUGCAGCUGCAGCAGCCGAUAAGAGGAGCGACACAGAGGAAAUGUUUUGUUCUGCAGCAGCACCAAAUCCACUUUGUCAUCUCCAUGGACAACAAAAACAAAAAUAGGCCACACAUUUCCUGGAAACAAAUGGGCCUCCCAUCCAGGUAUUCACUCCUGGAAUUGUGUUCCGGCUAAGACGAAGUCUACAUUUAAUACGCCGCUGCUUUUUUGGAGCAGCCGGUGGAAACAUUGCGUACCAAGUGGAGGCUUUGCUUUCACUUUCAGUUUGAAGGCAGCUGUUUACUCGGACGGAAAUUCAUUCUAGUGGCGCGGCUUGGCAGGUCAUGUCGGCCUGAGCAAAACAGCCCUCGGGAGGAUGAGACUUGGUGGACAAAUAUCCGAACACAGGACGUUAGAAAAGAACCACAACCGUCUGUGGAGCUGCUCACAAAGCCUCGGUUGUUGGUUCUGCAGCUGAAGUGUUUUUGACUGAUGUUUGGGAGUUGCUGGAAUGUGCGCCGCAUUUCCAGUGGAACAGGUUGUGUGUUCUCAUUUGCAACUAGCAACCAGAGACGGAUGUCGGAUAGAGAACGUUGAAAAGAACAUUAGGUGCCGGAAGUACGCCUUCAACAUGUUGCAGCUGAUGGCGUUCCCCAAGUGCUACCGACCUCCCGAAGGGACGUACGGCAAAGUGGACUCGUGAGGGCUCG